GCUGGUGAGAGGAGGGACAUGCAGCUUCUACUGCCUGUGGCUUCCACUCUGCUGAGUUAUCUGUGGCUUCCACUCUGCCGGGUUAUCUGUGGUCAGUGUCUCCCUACCUGGCAGGCCAAAGCGAGGCCUAUGCUCUUUUGACCCCCUUGGUCAGUACGUGCCCAGGAACCAUGUUCAAUAUCAUCUUGGAUCAAGUGCACUCAGGAUGAUAAACGUGCUGUGAAACCAACUCCACAGCCUGAAUGUCCACAGUCAGACUGGAAAACCUUGGUGAUAGCCCUGGUGUGAGCCUGCCCUUGCUGCUGGGCCCUUCAUGAGCGUGGAGGCCAUGGCAGAGUACAGGGAGGCCAUGACCCCACAUCACUUUCCUUUGAUCUUUUUGCAGGGGGGAGUCUCACCUUCUUCCUCGGCUUCCCGGGUGCAACCUGGCCUGCUGCAGUGGGUGAAGUUUUGGUAGGCAAUUUCUUGCAACCACCACCGAGGCCCCGAAAAGCACUGGUCGUCAGGGAGCUCCUCCCCUUGGCCCCCAGCCUGUGCCAGCCCUGGCCCGGCUGCCACACCUCUGUUUCCUAGGCUGGGGACCCAGCUUGUCUCUCCUUGUUUCUUCCCACUGCACUGUGGUGCUUCAGUGGCCACCAGCCUCGUCACAUACACCAGC
rnacentral:lncRNA from 1 species